UUUCUAAGGAUUUAGUAAUUGAAGUUGCCAACCAACAAUGUGUGCAGAGGAAAAGAGUGAAAAAUUCAAAGAGAUGAGAGCAAAGCAGAAGGUGUUACACACGAUGAGUAGAAAAGGCUAUGCACGACUAGAGGAAGACAUGAAAAAUCAAAGCCAAGACCCAGAUUCCAUAUCUAGAGUGGAUGUUUGGAUCAAAGGACAUACAAGGCAGAAGGGGAAACCUAUCAGUGA